rnacentral:rRNA from 1 species
GAGUUUGAUCCUGGCUCAGGACGAACGCUGGCGGCGUGCCUAAUACAUGCAAGUCGAGCGGACAGAUGGGAGCUUGCUCCCUGAUGUUAGCGGCGGACGGGUGAGUAACACGUGGGUAACCUGCCUGUAAGACUGGGAUAACUCCGGGAAACCGGGGCUAAUACCGGAUGGUUGUUUGAACCGCAUGGUUCAGACAUAAAAGGUGGCUUCGGCUACCACUUACAGAUGGACCCGCGGCGCAUUAGCUAGUUGGUGAGGUAACGGCUCACCAAGGCGACGAUGCGUAGCCGACCUGAGAGGGUGAUCGGCCACACUGGGACUGAGACACGGCCCAGACUCCUACGAGAGGCAGCAGUAGGGAAUCUUCCGCAAUGGACGAAAGUCUGACGGAGCAACGCCGCGUGAGUGAUGAAGGUUUUCGGAUCGUAAAGCUCUGUUGUUAGGGAAGAACAAGUGCCGUUCAAAUAGGGCGGCACCUUGACGGUACCUAACCAGAAAGCCACGGCUAACUACGUGCCAGCAGCCGCGGUAAUACGUAGGUGGCAAGCGUUGUCCGGAAUUAUUGGGCGUAAAGGGCUCGCAGGCGGUUUCUUAAGUCUGAUGUGAAAGCCCCCGGCUCAACCGGGGAGGGUCAUUGGAAACUGGGGAACUUGAGUGCAGAAGAGGAGAGUGGAAUUCCACGUGUAGCGGUGAAAUGCGUAGAGAUGUGGAGGAACACCAGUGGCGAAGGCGACUCUCUGGUCUGUAACUGACGCUGAGGAGCGAAAGCGUGGGGAGCGAACAGGAUUAGAUACCCUGGUAGUCCACGCCGUAAACGAUGAGUGCUAAGUGUUAGGGGGUUUCCGCCCCUUAGUGCUGCAGCUAACGCAUUAAGCACUCCGCCUGGGGAGUACGGUCGCAAGACUGAAACUCAAAGGAAUUGACGGGGGC